ensembl:snRNA U6 U6 spliceosomal RNA
GUUCUUGCAUUAGCAGUACAUAAAUAAAAGUUGGAACAAUACAGAGAUGAACAUGGUCCCUUCACAAAGAUGACACAAAUUCGGAAGCAUUCCAUAUUUUU